rnacentral:rRNA from 1 species
AUUGAACGCUGGCGGCAGGCCUAACACAUGCAAGUCGCACGAGUGGCGGACGGGUGAGUAAUGUCUGGGAAACUGCCCGAUGGAGGGGGAUAACCACUGGAAAAGGUAGCUAAUCCCGCAUACCAUCGGGUGUGCCCAGAUGGGAUUAGGUAGGAGGUGGGGUAACGGCUCACCUAGGCGACGAUCCCUAGCUGGUCUGAGAGGAUGACCAGCCACAACGGAACUUAGACACGGUCCAGACUCCUACGGGAGGCGGCAGUGGGGAAUAUUGCACAAUGGGCGCAAGCCUGAUGCAGCCAUGCCGCGGGUAUGAAGAAGGCCUGCGGGUUGGAAAGUACUUUAAGCGAGGGGGCGUUAAGCGCAGAAGAAGCACCGGCUAACUCCGUGCCAGCCGCCGCGGUAAUUC